AGAAACAGGGCGCCGUGGUUAAAGUGCCUGUCUAUUAAACAGGAGAUCCUGGGUUCAAAUCCCAGUGGUGCCU